rnacentral:rRNA from 1 species
CCCUUAGAUGUCCGGGGCCGCACGCGCGCUACACUGAAGGAACCAGCGUGGCUUUCUCCCUGACCCGAAAGGGUUGGGAAACCCGUUGAAUCUCCUUCGUGAUAGGGAUUGGGGCUUGAAAUUGUUCCCCAUGAACGAGGAAUUCCCAGUAAGCGCGAGUCAUAAGCUCGCGUUGAUUACGCCCCUGCCCUUUGUACACACCGCCCGUCGCUACUACCGAUUGAACGGUUUAGUGAGGGCCUCGGAUUGGUCUCGGCCCGCUCUUUACCGGGCGGCGCCGUUGGUCGAGAAGACGCUCGAACUUGAUCGUUUAGAGGAAGUAAAAGUCGUAACA